rnacentral:rRNA from 1 species
CCUACGGGAGGCAGCAGUGAGGAAUAUUGGUCAAUGGGCGGAAGCCUGAACCAGCCAAGUCGCGUGAGGGAUUACGGCCCUGCGGGUCGUAACCUCUUUUGCCGGGGAGCCGUGGUCCGGACGCGUCCGGACCGGGAGAGUACCCGGAGAAAAAGCAUCGGCUAACUCCGGGCAAGCAGCCGCGGUAAUACGGAGGAUGCGAGCGUUAGCCGGAUUUAUUGGGUUUAAAGGGUGCGUAGGCCGGUCUUUAAGCGUGCCGUGAAAUUUUGUGGCUCAACCAUGAGAGUGCGGCGCGAACUGGAGACCUUGAGUGCGCGGAAGGCAGGCGGAAUUCGUGGUGUAGCGGUGAAAUGCUUAGAUAUCACGAAGAACCCCGAUUGCGAAGGCAGCCUGCCGCAGCGUUACUGACGCUGAAGCUCGAAAGCGCGGGUAUCGAACAGGAUUAGAUACCCUAGUAGUC